AGGACGAACGCUGGCGGCGUGCUUAACACAUGCAAGUCGAACGGAAAGGCCCCUUUGGGGGUGCUCGAGUGGCGAACGGGUGAGUAACACGUGGGUGAUCUGCCCUGCACUUUGGGAUAAGCCUGGGAAACUGGGUCUAAUACCGAAUAUUUCCUGCCGGCUGCAUGGUUGGUGGGGGAAAGCUUUUGCGGUGUGGGAUGGGCCCGCGGCCUAUCAGCUUGUUGGUGGGUGAUGGCCUACCAAGGCUACGACGGGUAGCCGGCCUGAGAGGGUGUCCGGCCACACUGGGACUGAGACACGGUCCGGACUCCUACGGGAGGCAGCAGUGGGGAAUAUUGGACAAUGGGGGAAACCCUGAUCCAGCGACGCCGCGUGUGUGAAGAAGGCCUGCGGGUUGUAAAGCACUUUAGUGGGACAAAAGCUACGGAUUAAUACUCUGUGGUCUUGAUUUAACCCAAAGAAAACGCACCGGCUAACUCUAGCGCCAGCAGCCGCGGUAA
rnacentral:rRNA from 1 species